rnacentral:snRNA from 1 species
GUGCUCACUUCGGCAGCACAUAGCUUAAAAUUGAAACGAUACAGAGAAGAUUAGCAUGGCCCCUGCACAAGGAUGACACACAAAUUCGUGAAGCGUCCCAUAUUGUU